AGCAGUUUAUUCCAUCACUGCUACAAGCCUGAACAAAGGACUUUGCAAUUACUCUUCUGAAUGCUCAUUUGUGCCAGAACCAAGUCUGAGAAGGGAAAAAAAACAGGAAAACGAUACCAGGGACCCAGGAGAGCUAAGUGGCACCUGCAGCAGAGAGAUGGGGGAGGACAAAGAGUGGGAUGGCAACAAAGACAAGGGUGACCUUGAUGUGAGAGGCUGAUGGGCACUGGAGGCCAAGGAAGGGAGUGAAAUGAAGCCCUGGCAGCAGAGAGGGGAGACCUUGGAAAGAAUAACAAAGACUAAACAGAACUGAGGAUGAGGAACCCCGCCCCCUGCCCCGCUGGAAGAGCCAGACAGCUGUGCAGGCAUUGUCUCUCACUGGAAGGGGAUAAAUACACACUUUGAUGAAUAAAAAGCAAUAUAUUAUGGA